rnacentral:rRNA from 1 species
UACAGAGGGUGCGAGCGUUAAUCGGAAUUACUGGGCGUAAAGCGCACGUAGGUGGCGACGUAAGUCGGGUGUGAAAGCCCCGGGCUCAACCUGGGAAUUGCAUUCGAGACUGCAUUGCUGGAGUACGGAAGAGGAAGGCGGAAUUCCCGGUGUAGCGGUGAAAUGCGUAGAUAUGCGGAGGAACACCGAUGGCGAAGGCAGUCCCCUGGACCUGUACUGACGCUCAUGCACGAAAGCGUGGGGAGCAAACAGG